CAGCUCAUGAGCUCUCCGACAGGGGCUAUACUGAGUGUGCGUGGCCGGGAGCGUCCUAACGUAGCCAUUUAAAGUUAAAGGGAUGUGAUUGGUGGGAGUGAGAGCAAGCACGGCAAGCACGGAGAGGGAGCUUUGUAAAUAUAGACCAGCCAGGGCUUAUCCACAUUGACGAGAUUGAUUCAUGUGGAAUUUUCUCUUCUUCGCAAAGAAAAUUGGGACAACAGGAUGACCAGAGAAAGACCCAAGAGGAAUAUAAUUCACAAAAGAUUAGACCUCCAUCCUGUUUUUUACCUACAUCAUUGGUGCCUUUAUGCACUAUGACAGCUGGCUGUUCACCCUCCCCCUUCAGAAUGUCCUGCAGUCGAUCCGAGACAUCCCUGACCUGUGCACCUGGGAGGCAA